rnacentral:rRNA from 1 species
GUCUGUUUGGAGGUAUAAAAAGUCUGGCCUGCCCACUGAAUUUUUUAAAGGGCCGCGGUAAUCUGACCGUGCAAAGGUAGCAUAAUCGUUAGUUUUUUAAUUGGAAUCUUGUAUGAAUGGUUGAACAAGAGAAUAACUGUCUCUAUACUUUUUUUUGAAUUUAACUUUUAGGUGAAAAGGCUUAAAUACUUUAAAAAGACGAUAAGACCCUGUAAAGCUUGAUAAAUUUUGUUAUUCAAUUAAAUUAAUGUAUAAAAGUUUAGUAGCUAAGAUUUAUUUUGUUGGGGCGACAAUGAUAAAAUGUUUGUUAACUGUUUAUGUUUAGGGACAAAAUUAAAUGGUUAGUAAGUUAUAAAUGAUCCUUCUUAAAGAUUAAAAGUUUAAGUUACUUCAGGGAUAACAGCGUUAUUUUUCUUGAGAGUUCAUAUCGAAAGAAAAGUUUGCGACCUCGAUGUUGAAUUAAAAUGUCUAUAUAAUUGCAGAAGUUAUAAUAGAAGGUCUGUUCGACCUUUAAAUUUUUACAUGAUUUGAGUUCAGACCGGCGUGAG